UCGGAAAAGUGCGUUCCAGAGUUAGAGAUCAAGACUGAGCCGGAUAUGGACAUAGGGAAAACUUGCGUGGAAGAGGCCAAGAAGCUCUAUGACAUCAGCCGGCUGCGAGCAUUUGGCAGUGUGCCUUUUUUUAUAAAGCGCCUGGAGCUCAAAGACUUUCCGCUAAGCUAUCACAAGGCUAUGUGCCUCGUCGAGAGGCUGCUGGCGUGGCUGCGACGCAAUAAGGUGCCGAAUGGAAUAGGGAUUGGCUUUCGCAUUGCCCAAAAUAUGCCAUCUUCGUGCCUUUUGAUACUGGCGAUCCUCAAUCACAAAUGCCACUUCUUUGCCACGGACAAAAUGCUGAUGUCAAAGGCUCUGCAUGGCCAAAUGUGCGCCGCUGGUGUGGAUUAUCUGGUGGUCUGCGGGCACAUGUCCGUAGGUGUUAUAUACUUUGAGCGUAUCGACAUAUUUUUGGUCUACAACGAGGAAUACAAGCUGUUCAAGGUUAAACACACUCCAGACGAUCCUCCAGCACAAGCGAAGAAGCCUCUGCCGGCCAACAUGUGCUACACAAUCACGACAACUGGGACGACAGGAACUCCCAAGCUUAUUUACGUACCCUAUGAAUGUAUUGCCCCAAAUGUAUUGGCACUCAGCCAGAAGCUGAACGUCUCCAUGGCCGACAUAAUCUACUUGGGCACACCCUCCACCUUCGAUCCCUUUGUUGUGGAGCUCUUUCUGGCACUGCAAACAGGAGCCUCCUUGCUGAUCAGCCACCAGACGAUGAGGGAAGCGCCAUCGAAGGUUCUAAAUGCGCUCUUCCCCAGGAGUAUGUCCGCGCCGGGCAUUACCAUACUGCAGAUGACUCCAUCGCUGUUCAGGCAAUUCGGAGCGACUGCAAUACGUGAACGCAUCCUUACCAAUUCCAGUACCUUAAGAGUGCUUCUUCUUGGUGGUGAACAGUUUCCCUCCAGUGCAGAGCUGAUCACGUGGAUGGAUCCGAGUGUCCUACUGCAGAAACACAUUUGCAACAUAUACGGCAUCACAGAAGUCUCGUGUUGGAGUCUAAUGCACAUUAUACAUUCCCUGCAAAUGCAAAUGCCACUCGGGACUCCCAUCGAUGAUGUGACGGUGUUUCGGGUGCAAUACCAGAGCGAUCGGAAUAUGCAGCACGGAGAACUCUUCAUAGGAAGCGCCAUUCGACGUUGCUAUAUUCCAGAAAUCGAUGACGUAGAGGGUGUAAAAGAUGACUCUGAAAUUUGCUUUCGAUCCACUGGUGAUUUGGUUAUCCGCUUGGAGGAUGAAUCAAUAUGCUACGGCGAGCGUGCCAAUGAUGUGGUGAAGCGUGCUGGUAAUCGCAUUAGUUUGGGCUUAAUCACUCGUAAGAUUGAAAAAUGUCUGCCCAGCGGAGAGCUGGCUAUUUGCCUGUGGCUCGAGCAACUUCAGAAGCUCAUAUGCUGCAUACGUACGUUGGAGAUUAAGACAAAGGUACAGCAGCGUGCCCAGACUUUCGAUAUACUUUCCAAGUUAUUGAAUGCGGAGCAACCAGACAGAUUUAUCUAUCUACAGCACUUCCCCUGCAAUGUUCAUGGCAAACUGGACAAGGAACUGCUGCUCAAGGAGUGCAUGCCGCUGGCUCAGCCUGCACAGGAAAUAUUAAAGAGUUUCCUGCAAGACAGACUGGAAUGUGUGGACGUAUCGAGUGAGAAAGCGACCAAGAAGGCACGGCUGGAGUGCAGCCAACCAUGUGGCUAUGAGCUGAGCUUUCGCCAGGCGGGUGGCACCUCAUUUCAUGCCAUCACAAUUUGUCGGGAGAUUGGCCUGCAAAUGUGCAUCGAUGAUGAGCAGCGACACGUGUUCGAGAUGCUCCUCGACGAGAAUGUUCCUCUGCGCACAGUUCUACGUUUCCUCGACACGGCAAAGCUUGUGGCAAAUAAUACCAAACUGAAGCCGAUAGAGCCGCAGGCAAACAAGACGGCAACCGGGGCAAGUGGAAGCAGCGGCACCUGUGGUCUGACCAUUACCCGCUUCGAGCAGCCGGAGAUCAGGUUCCAGAUUUAUUGGAAGGUCAACUUCGGGAAGUGCAUCGAUUCGCCCGUUACGCAGUACGAGGGACGCUACGUCUGCGUGGGCUCACAUUCCCAUAUACUGCGCACUUUGGAUCCUCAAACAGGCAUAGAGCAGAGCAGCCUGCAACUGCCGGACCGGAUUGAGUGCAAAGUGACAUUCCUCAGUGAGCAGCUGGCCAUGGUGGGCUGCUAUGAUGGUUGUCUCUACGGCUUCAAUCCGCUCACUGGAGAUAUUGUGUGGCGCGUGGAGAUUGGCGGAAUGAUCAAGGCGCAGCCUUUUCUGACAGCCGACGGUUCGCGAAUUGUGGUAUGCAGCUAUGCCGAGGAUUACAAUGUGUUUUGCCUGUCCGCCGAGCGGCAGGAAGUGCUCUGGUGCUUGAGGAUUGGCGAAAAGCCAAUAUUCGCGAGUCCCCUGGAGUUGCCCAAUGAACAGUCGCUGAUCAUCUGCAAUCUGAAUGGUGACUAUGCGCGAGUCGCACUCACGGAUGGAUCCUUGGAAUGGUUGAACAAGUGCAGGGGCCCAUUAUUCGCCACACCUGUCCUGUUGGACUCGAAGCCAAACCAUUUCCUGUGUGCCGAAGUGGCUGGACGCAUCCUUGCCUGCCAUGUAGGCAAUGGAAUGAUUAUGGCUACAUACACUGCAGAGGGAAACGUCUUCUCGUCGUUGGUUGUCAAGAAGCCACCCACACAGAUGGGCUAUUCGUUUGUGAUCUUUGGCUGCAUGAAUCAUCAUGUGUAUUGCCUGCGAUGCAACACAGGAUCUGGGCGAAAACCGGUUACCUUCGAACUCAAUUGGAAGGUCGAUACGGGAGCUCCUGUAUAUGCAACGCCCACACUACUCAUCAUCCAGCUUCUCGGUUAUCUGGUUUGGAGCUGUUCCACCGACGGUCGUGUAAUUUUAAUGAAUUUUCACAAUGGCCAGAUUCGAUGGUCCACCAAGCUGCCUGGGCAAAUAUUUUCCACUUCCUGCUGUAUAGAGAGCCUCCGGCGAGUCUACGUGGGAUGUCGAGAUAAUUUUCUAUACAGCCUGGGCAUCUAGUCUGUUCAGUUGAAUUUAUAACGAACAUUAAAAAUAGCCCUUUCAAGAUAUAUAUUAUAUAAAGAUUACGGCUAUUUAAAGUACACCAAAUCUGAUAAGUUACGCCAACUUAAAACCUUUGAAUAUCACGCGUACUUUCAUAGCGGACAGCUUUUGAUACUGUGAAAAAGUAAACAGCAGCUACGUUCUGUCACCAACCAUACAAUAUAUACUUUAGAUUUAAGAUUAGAUUAGAUGAGAUUAGAUUAUACGCCAGACAGCUGCUGUAAGACACAAGAAUGAAUCCGACUAUUCACUGUUAUUUAAGCGCUCCAAACGGUUUUGUAUUGACUUUCACCCGGAUACGUACUUUGCUGUACUCCGUCGGUUCUGUUCUCGACUUUGUAUAAAGGCGUGGGCUCAUAGUUAAUCAAUCGCAAUCGGUAAGAAAGGGAACCAAAGCAAAGCAAAGCUC